rnacentral:rRNA from 1 species
GGGCGAACAGAUAGUACUAGAGGCCUGCCUGCCCAGUGACAUUUGUUCAACGGCCGCGGUAUCCUGACCGUGCAAAGGUAGCAUAAUCACUUGUUCCCUAAAUAGGGACCUGUAUGAAUGGCCACACGAGGGUUUUACUGUCUCUUACUUCCAAUCAGUGAAAUUGACCUUCCCGUGAAGAGGCGGGAAUGCCCUAAUAAGACGAGAAGACCCUAUGGAGCUUCAAUUAACUAGUCCAAUAAAGAAAAACUAUAACCUACUAGGCAUAACCCUCCCCUUAUAUGGACUAACAAUUUUGGUUGGGGUGACCUCGGAGUACAAAAAAACCUCCGAGUGAUUUAAAGCCUAGACCAACAAGUCAAAGCACCACAUCACUCAUUGAUCCAAACAUUGAUCAACGGAACAAGUUACCCUAGGGAUAACAGCGCAAUCCUAUUUAAGAGUCCAUAUCGACAAUAGGGUUUACGACCUCGAUGUUGGAUCAGGACAUCCCAAUGGUGCAGCAGCUAUUAACGGUUCGUUUGUUCAACGAUUAAAGUCCUACGUGAUCUAGUUUUGAAACCCCGGGGGAA